ACAGAAAAUGUAGUACAUUUAAACAAUUGUGUACUACUCAACUCUUAAAACCAAUUAUCUCAAGAAAGCCAAAGACAAAUGGGAUGAUCUAGAAAAUAUCAUAAUGAUUGAGGUUACCCAAUCACAAAAUGGUAUGAAAUCACACAUUUUAUGAAAUCACCAAAAGUGGAUAUUGGCACAAAAGCUAAAAUUACCAAAGAUGCAUUUCACAGACAACUGGAAGCUCAAUAAAAUGAUACACAAAAUGUGCAUGCUUUAAUCCUUUUCAAAAGGUGGACACAAUAAUAUCUAUGAAUUUCGAGCAGAGACUGAGGAAAUCCCAUUCAGAGCAGGCCGUACAUGUGGCAAAAAUAUAUACACAUCAGUCACCAAAACUAGAUAAGAUUGAUGGAGCUAAGAAGUGCAUUGUGCCAGGGACUGUAUAGAGAUCUUUCCUGUGAGACACAGCUAGAGCAUAUCAAAUAAAGAAGUGAAUUCUAGAGGCAAAUCAGUGAAUUGAAAACGGACAGUAGGGGAGUUAUAGAAAAAGAGGAGUGGGGCCGGUUAGGGAUCAUAUGUGCAGGUAAUAGGGAAAGGAAAUAACAUUUCAAAUGUAAAUAUAGAAAUACCCAAUUAAAACAGGAAUAAAAUUUGCUAAAAAAUAAAAAGAAAUAAAGAAAUUUAAGAAAAGAACACUGCGAAGUAUUCACAGCUAUUGACUCAGAAAUGUAAAAGUCAUUUUCAUGGAAUGAUAGUCAGAGUAAUACUAAUGGAAAGACUGAGAUGAUGAAGACUCAACUAGAAACACUUCUCUCUCCCAGAUAUCAGUAUCAGACAAAAACUGCACUAUAGGCAUCCAGAGCAUGGUGGAAUUUACUCUGAGGCGAGGACUCAAUACUUGUCUUUCCAUUCUUCCUUAGGACCAUUUUCUUCUUGACAAAAAGAAUAAGGCUAUGAGAUCUCAGCAAAACAACUGUGCCCUGCCCAUCACUUGGCUUUGGAAUAAAAAAAAAUAAUGAUAUAAACUCUUUGACUUCCAGGAAUGAUAUGAACAGGAACUGUAAGAGCAGGAAGUCCAGAUGCUUCUGAGAGGACCCCAGCUCCUAAUUCCCAUUUGUAGACGGCUCAGAUCAAGACAAUCUCUUCAUGAAACAACUCAACACCUACUAAGGACUCAGAGAGCUUUCCCAAGGACCUUUUUUGUACCAAGACAGAAGGACCAAAACCAUCAGCUUUAAAGAAAACUGUGCCCUUCCCAACACUUGGCUUUGGAAAAAAGACAUGAAUGAUAUAAAUUCUCCGACUUCCAGGAACCAUAACUAGCAGGGAAGUCCAGAUGCAUCUGAGAGGCUCCCAUCUCCUGAUUACCAUAUUUGGAAGGCUCCAAUCAAUACUAUCUUUUCAGCAAACCUUCUCAACCACUACCCAGAAAUGACUGAGAUUUCCCAUGGACCACAUAUUUCUUUUUUUUUAUAACAAAGCAGAAGGCCAGCUUCCUUCUUCCCAUCUUUGAUCACUUCAUCCUCUUUUUUCUCCUUCCCAAAGGCUGUUUAUGCUGAAUUAGAGGCCAAAUAGUAAACCCUAGAGGUACUGAAGGACUACUGGAGAGGCAACUUCUGUCAGGACAACACUUGUUACAUCACAGAAGAAACUAGGGAUCUCCAGGAUACAACAGAUUUUUUUAGAUAGGCCUAAUGGUGAUGUCACUGAGAAUUGCCAUGGCCUACCUGCUAAAGUGUUUUCCUUUCAAUGACCAGAUUCGAGGGUGCCCUUGCAAGGUUUGUCUCCUGUGAAACAAUGGAAACCUUUUCAUACUACAUGUCUUUAAAGCUAGAAACUUCUCUUUAUUUCCUUAGUGGUUACAUGCUCUGAAAGGAAAAGAUAAUCAGGAGCUUUGCAUGGGUAGAAAAGAUCUCGGAACAUGGAGUGGAAGAGAUUCCUCUGGAUAAUAAUUUUAUUACCAGGUCCAUUACUAUGACAUACAGUUCAAUAUCCUAGGUUAUCUCUGUUUCCCAAAGGCCAGCAUUUUCCCUACAAUCCUUUAAUUGAAUUCAUAUUUCAUUACAGUUUCUCAUUGUACAUUCCUUGAUAGGUGACUUUAUAUAUUCCUGAAUGUGAAGUGAAAAAUUCUGUUUUCCAAUUUCAUGUUUUUUUGCAAUGAUUUUGGCAACCCAAGGGUCCCACCUAACGUUGAAUAUAAAAAUGUAAAUAUUAUGUACCUACUUCCAAUGAUGAACUUCCAAAUCCUUAGUUUAUCCAAAAAUUUCCAGACAUCAGAAAAGCUAAGGAAAACAUGAAAUAUAGAAUAUGGUUCAGUAGUCUCAUUAGACAUCAGUUCUUUAAUAUCUAACUUCCUGUUCCUCUAGGACCAGACGUGAAGGUUUUCGAGGUUUUACCAUGGUUGUUACUUCAGGACAAACAUAAAAUUCAGGAGGAUGUGCAGGGAGAUGAAUGGCUUAAUGUCCAGGGAAACUUCAACUUCAAUAGGUUCAUAAGAACAAGAGGGAGGUGUUUGGAAUUGCCAUUUGUGGAUUCUACAUUCUUGACCUAGGUGUACAUAAUCCAUGUGAAAAUUCCACCUAACCUCAUAGCUGUAGGAGCCACCAAAUGUAUAGUUGGAACCAGAUGUACAUCUUUCCUGAGAGACACAGCUUGAGCAAGUCAAAUACAGAAGAGAAUGCUACUGGCAAACCAGUGAACCAAAAAUGGAUCUCUUGUUGGUAGUUUUUGAGAAAGAAUUACAAGAGCUUAAGGGGAUUUCAAUUCCAUAAGAACAACAAUGCCAGUGAACCAGAGCUUUCUGGUACUAAACCAAUAUUCAAAGACUGUACUUGGACAGACCUAUGUGUCCAACUGCAUAUGUAGCAGUGGAUGGCCUUGUUGGGAACCAAUGGAAGGAGAAGUUCCUGGUCCAACCUAGGUUUAACUCUCAGUUCAAGGUAAUAUCAAGGUUCACUAAGGUAGGUUAUAGAAGAAUGUUAGGGGGACUAGUUACGGGUCUUAUGGACAUGAAACUGGGAAAGAAAAUCAAAUUUGAAAUUCAAAUAUAGAAAUAUCCAAAUAAAAAAAGCAAUAAAAUUUGCUAAAAUUUAAAAAAAAUGAAAUAAAUUAAAGAAAAGACAUCUGUCAGCUAAUUACACAUAUUGACUCAGAAAUCUAAAGGGUAACUAUCAGGAAAUGGUAAUCAGAGUAAUACUAGUGGAAAGACUGAGAUGAUGAAGUCUCAACUAGAAGCUCUUCUCUCCCAAAUAUCAGUGUCAGACACAAACUGCACUAUAGGAAUCCAAAGCAUGGAGGCGUUUACACUGAGCUGAGGAGACAAUACUUGUCUAUCCUUUGUUUCUUCGGACCUUUUUCUUCAGGGCAAAAAGAGUGAAAGACAUGAGCUCUCACUAGAACAACUGUGCCCUUACCAACAACUGACUUUUGGAAUGAAGAAAAUGAUUAUAUAAACUCUCUGAAUUCCAGAAACCAUAUCAAGCAGGGAAGUCCAGAUGAUAAUGAGAGAAUCCCAGCUCUGUAUUCCCAUGUGUGUAAGGCUCAGAUCAAGGCUAUCUCUUCAGAUACAACACUCAACGCCUACCCAAGACUCACUGAGCUUUCCCAUGGACCAUUUAUUUCUUCCUUUUUUUAUACAAAGACAGAAGGCCAGCUUCCUUCUCUUUUAUCUCCCUAACAAAUGGCUGUUUAGCCAGAAUAAGAGGUCAAUGAGUUAACCCUAGAGGUCUUCAAAGAAUAUCCAAGAGGCAGUUGCUGUCACCAUGACACUUGUGACAUCACAGAAAAGCUAGAGCUCUUCAGGAUACAAGAGAUAUUUCAGGGAGGACCUAAUGAUGAUGUCACUGAGAACUGCCAUGAUCUAACUGUUGAACAGCUUUCUUUACAUUGACCAGAUUUGAGGGUUCCCUUUCCAAGAGUGUCUCUUGUGACACACUGGAAACCUUUAAAUACUAUAUAUCUCUAAUGCUGGAGACUUCUCUUUGCUUCAUUCGUACGUACAUGUUCGGAAUAGAGAAUGUUGGUCAGGGGCUUGGCAUGGGUAUAAAGAUCUAGGAACAUGGGGUGGAGGAGAUUAUUCUGGAUAAUAAUUCCACUCCCAGUUCCAUUCCUGUGACAUACAGUUCAAGUUCCUAGGUUUUCUCUGUUUCCCAAAGUCAAAUAUUUUCCUUCCAGACAUUUAGGUGAAUGAAUAUUGUAUUACAUUUUCUUAUUGUACAUUCUUUGAAAGGAGACUUUAUAUAUAUUACUGAAUGUGUACUCAAAUAUUCUGUUUUCCAAUUUUAAUUUUUGCAAUUAUAUUGGCAACAAAGUUGGCCCAGCUAAAGCAUGAAUAUAACAGUAUAAAUAUUGUAUACCUACUUCAAAUGAUAAUCUCUCAAAUCCUUAAUUUAAGCAAAAAUUACCAGCCAUCAGUAAAGCAAAGGACAAUAUGGACCCUAGAAUGCGGUUCAGAUUUUCUUUUAGGCUUGAAAAAUUUUGCGAAGAAGGUUUUGUGGGUGUAUUUGUGUCUUUAUCCCUCCAUUGCUGGUCUUUCCAGGCAAUGGGAGUUGGCCUCUUAAUGUUUCAUAUCACCAAUGUAAUUCACAGCUUAGGUCACCCCAUUGAUUCCUGGGUACCUCCAUUAUACCAGGUCUCUUUCUCUUCCUGGAGGUUUCUCCCACCUCCUCAUCUCUUUAAGUUCAAGAUUUCCUUUCUUUCUCAUGACUAUCGGGUCCUAUCUCCUGUCCCUGCACACACAGGAUCCAUUCUCCUCUUCCUUCCAUCUCUCAUCUAGUUCCUUUCCUCAAUCGGCCUCCUAGACUAUUUUAUUCCCCAUUCUAAGUGAGAGUCAAUCUUAUGCACUUUGGCCAUUCUUCUUGUUUAUCUUCUUUGUACCUUUAAGCUUUGUGGAGGAUGUCCUGUAGUUUAUGGAUAAUAUUACUUAUAAUUGAGCAAUUUCAACAACCCUCUUGAUCAUAUUUUACAGUAGUAUGUUAAAAUUGAAAAUUAUAAUUUAGUAUGAGUGAAUGUCAUGAGGACCAAAUUUAAGUAAAAAGAAACUUAAAACAAGAUCAAAUCACAGAUUUUAAAAAUUGACCUAAUAAUAAAAAUUCUCUACUAUCAUAAGGAAUUAUUAUAUCACAGGCAAUUUUUAAGUGGUACCAUAAAUUUGGCAGACAAAUGAUGUUUUUAACAAGUAAUUAUGGAUAAUAUGACUAAGAUCAAAUAAGAUAAAUAUAUUAUUUUCAUUCUGAUAUCACUUCCUGGCAUUUUUCCUCAAACAUGAUGUUUAUAGCAUUGAACAUUAUGGUAUUAGUUUUAAAUUUUAAUAUUUAUUUUAACCUAACCUAUAAAGUAACAGGUUGCCAUAUGUUAUGUUUGUAGACAAUCACCCUCAUCCUCGCUUCCUCAGUUCUUUGUUUCCGCCUGCCCUAUGUCCCUCACCACUUAUACUAGUCUCUCUUCAUUAUUCUUACUUCUAGAUUCAUAUCCCACAUGCUCAAUAUCUUCCAUACCACACUGUUUAAAACCCUACUCUAUAAUCUCUCUAAUCUCUGUGACGUAUACCAGUUAAGUGAACUCAAACCACCCACAGCUUCACAUAAAUACAAGUAUAUUAAAAGGAGAUUCUUUCAUCUCUUUGAAAAAGAACACAUGGUAUUUGCCUUUCUAAGUCUUUGUUACCUUACUCGGUUUAGUUUUCCUAGGGAGAAUGAAGUACCAUUGUGUAUAUUGUCACAUUAUUAUAUAUCUAUGUAUCAAUGAAUAUUCAUUAUGAUUCUCAAUAAAAGAGCAAUAGAUUUAUUUUUGAAAAACGAUGAGAAAGCUCAGAUAGAAAAGUCAAGAAACUAAGAAACUAAGAAACUAAGAAACUAAGAAAAUUUCAAAGAUAAAUAUGACGAACAUAUUUGUGUUUAUAUUAACUGGAGCAGUGUGUGUUAAAGUUAAUAAAGG